CUUGUCCAGACCCAAUGUUAAUGUCUUAAUACAAAAUUGCAAAAAAAAAUGAGCGUAGGUAUGGGUUGGGCUAAAUUUAGAUCUAUUUUUCGGAAAAAACAUAUAAGCAAUGUACAUUGACAUACAGAAUAUUUCCCAAAAGAUGUUAUUUGAAGGAGUCUAUAAUUUGAUUGUAUCCAAAGAAAAUUCAUUUAUCAG